rnacentral:rRNA from 1 species
CCUACGGGAGGCAGCAGUGAGGAAUAUUGGUCAAUGGACGUAAGUCUGAACCAGCCAAGUCGCGUGAAGGAAGAAGGAUCUAUGGUUUGUAAACUUCUUUUAUAGGGGAAUAAAGGUAUCCACGUGUGGAUAUUUGCAUGUACCCUAUGAAUAAGCAUCGGCUAACUCCGUGCCAGCAGCCGCGGUAAUACGGAGGAUGCGAGCGUUAUCCGGAUUUAUUGGGUUUAAAGGGUGCGUAGGUUGUUUGUUAAGUCAGCGGUGAAAGUUUGUGGCUCAACCAUAAAAUUGCCGUUGAUACUGGAAGACUUGAGUGUGUUUGAGGUAGGCGGAAUGCGUGGUGUAGCGGUGAAAUGCAUAGAUAUCACGAAGAACUCCGAUUGCGAAGGCAGCUUACUAAGCUAUAACUGACACUGAAGCACGAAAGCGUGGGGAUCAAACAGGAUUAGAUACCCUGGUAGUC